CUUGAAGAGAUCGCGUUCAAGUGUCACAGCAGGGCUUCUCGCCUAGCCCAGUGAUUUGCCAACAAGCCCGAUUCCUAUUUUACAAGCUGCUGUUCUCCGUUCCUGCAAGUGCUAAGUCAGUGCUGGGUAUCGGUAUCGCCAGCCUCCCUCACCUGUAAUGCGGUGCGUUCAGUCACGACAGAGGCUGCCCGGCCCGUGCAAGACAGCACUGCUCUUGAUUUAUAGGCUGUGUUUCUGCUGAGUCAGUAACUAACCCAGCAAAAUCACUGCUUCACUGGGCACGUCUUGAUUUGGUGAAAAACACCAGCCAUUUUCUUCUCAGUCUUGUGGGAAAUCGACCAGGCUAUACGGUUCAGGGAGACAAUGAAGCUAAUUACAUUCGUUAUGACAGGCGAGCCGGGUGGAAGGAGAUGAGCACACUGUUCAGAGGAGAAGGUUGAGAACUACUCUCUAGACAUUGAGGAGACAGGGUGAGUAAGCAAGUGGGCUGUGUCAGAGGAAGCCAGGAACCCCCCUGGCUUU
rnacentral:lncRNA from 1 species